rnacentral:rRNA from 1 species
UGGGGAAUCUUGGACAAUGGGGGCAACCCUGAUCCAGCGACGCCGCGUGGGUGGUAAGGCCUUCGGGUUGUAAAGCCCUUUCACCGGGGAAGAUGAUGACAUUACCCGGAGAAGAAGCGCCGGCUAACUCCGUGCCAGCAGCCGCGGUAAGACGGAGGGCGCUAGCGUUGUUCGGAAUCACUGGGCGUAAAGGGCGCGUAGGCGGCUGUUUAAGUCGAGGGUGAAAGCCCGGGGCUCAACCUCGGAACUGCCUUUAAAACUGAUACUCUAGAGUCCGGAAGAGGGUCGCGGAAUUCCCAGUGUAGAGGUGAAAUUCGUAGAUAUUGGGAAGAACACCGGUGGCGAAGGCGGCGACCUGGUCCGGUACUGACGCUGAGGCGCGAAAGCGUGGGGAGCAAACAGGAUUAGAUACCCGCGUAGUCC